rnacentral:rRNA from 1 species
GCGGCGGUCAGCUACCAUGCAGUCGACGGUAGCACAGAGGAGCUUGCUCCUUGGGUGACGAGUGGCGGACGGGUGAGUAAUGUCUGGGAAACUGCCCGAUGGAGGGGGAUAACUACUGGAAACGGUAGCUAAUACCGCAUAACGUCGCAAGACCAAAGAGGGGGACCUUCGGGCCUCUUGCCAUCGGAUGUGCCCAGAUGGGAUUAGCUAGUAGGUGGGGUAACGGCUCACCUAGGCGACGAUCCCUAGCUGGUCUGAGAGGAUGACCAGCCACACUGGAACUGAGACACGGUCCAGACUCCUACGGGAGGCAGCAGUGGGGAAUAUUGCACAAUGGGCGCAAGCCUGAUGCAGCCAUGCCGCGUGUAUGAAGAAGGCCUUCGGGUUGUAAAGUACUUUCAGCGAGGAGGAAGGUGUUGUGGUUAAUAACCGCAGCGAUUGACGUUACUCGCAGAAGAAGCACCGGCUAACUCCGUGCCAGCAGCCGCGGUAUACGGAGGGUGCAAGCGUUAAUCGGAAUUACUGGGCGUAAAGCGCACGCAGGCGGUCUGUCAAGUCGAUGUGAAAUCCCCGGGCUCAACCUGGGAACUGCAUCCGAAACUGGCAGGCUAGAGUCUUGUAGAGGGGGGUAGAAUUCCAGGUGUAGCGGUGAAAUGCGUAGAGAUCUGGAGGAAUACCGGUGGCGAAGGCGCCCCCUGGACAAAGACUGACGCUCAGGUGCGAAAGCGUGGGGAGCAAACAGGAUUAGAUACCCUGGUAUCCACGCCGUAAACGAUGUCGACUUGGAGGUUGUGCCCUUGAGGCGUGGCUUCCGGAGCUAACGCGUUAAUCGACCGCCUGGGGAGUACGGCCGCAAGGUUAAAACUCAAAUGAAUUGACGGGGGCCCGCACAAGCGGUGGAGCAUGUGGUUUAAUUCGAUGCAACGCGAAGAACCUUACCUACUCUUGACAUCCAGAGAACUUAGCAAAGAUGCUUUGGUGCCUUCGGGAACUCUGAAACAGGUGCUGCAUGGCUGUCCUCACCUCGUGUUGUGAAAUGUUGGGUUAAGUCCCGCAACGAGCGCAACCCUUUAUCCUUUGUUGCCACCGGUUCCGGCCGGGAACUCAAAGGAAACUGCCAGUGAUAAACUGGUAUAACCUUG